GACGAGGUGCACAAACGUUAUUCGGAUUUACUGGGCUUAAAGCGUGCGUAGGCGGCUUGGCAAGUUGGGUGUGAAAUCCCUCGGCUCAACCGAGGAAUUGCGCCCAAAACUGCCGAGCUUGAGUGAGACAGAGGUGAGCGGAACUGAUGGUGGAGCGGUGAAAUGCGCAGAUAUCAGGAGGAACACCGGUGGCGAAGGCGGGUCUCUGGGCCGAGACUGACGCUGAGGAGCGAAAGCGUGGGGAGCGAACAGG
rnacentral:rRNA from 1 species